rnacentral:rRNA from 1 species
UACAGAGGUCCCAAGCGUUGUUCGGAUUCAUUGGGCGUAAAGGGUGCGUAGGCGGUGAAGUAAGUCUGGUGUGAAAUCCCGGGGCUCAACCCCGGAACUGCACUGGAUACUGCUUUACUAGAGUACUGGAGAGGGAACUGGAAUUUACGGUGUAGCAGUGAAAUGCGUAGAUAUCGUAAGGAAGACCAGUGGCGAAGGCGAGUUCCUGGACAGUUACUGACGUGAGGCACGAAGGCCAGGGGAGCAAACGGG